UACGUAGGGUGCGAGCGUUUGUCCGGAAUUAUUGGGCGUAAAGGGCUCGUAGGCGGUUUGUCGCGUCGGGAGUGAAAUCCACUGGCUUAACUGGUGGCUUGCUUUCGAUACGGGCAGACUGGAGGUAUGCAGGGGAGAACGGAAUUCCUGGUGUAGCGGUGGAAUGCGCAGAUAUCAGGAGGAACACCGGUGGCGAAGGCGGUUCUCUGGGCAUUACCUGACGCUGAGGAGCGAAAGCAUGGGGAGCGAACAGG
rnacentral:rRNA from 1 species